rnacentral:lncRNA from 10 species
GUAGGAGUGAGCCUAGGGCUGCUGUUCUUGGUUGUAAGCCUCAUUGUAAUAUUUCAUUUCAAAAAUAUAUACAUGAAUUAAUUUUAUAAAAUAAAAACUAAGUUUAAAACUACCUCAUUGAAAGAAAAAUAUAUAAAUAAAUAUAACUAUAUAGCUGGUUCCCACAUGGGAGGAGCAAGUAAAGAUAACAGAUCUCAAAUUAAGAAAAUAUAAAAGUGGCCUAAAAGAUAGAAAAUAAUUAUCCUUACUAGUAAUCAAAUGAGCAUUAAAACUGUAAAACAUCAAUUUCACCUAUAAAAUUAGCAAAGAUUACAAAAACUCAGUGAUGGCCACAGUUCAGGAAUAUAGGAACUUAUCACAGGUGUAUAUACAGAUUUACAUAAUAAAUUUGUGGAAAAAUUAUCUUUAUUAGGGACAAACUGAAACAAAUAAAAAUGCAAGAAUAUGAUUAAAUUAGCCAUAGCCUGCCUCUAUGGUGAAAUUUAUACAUUAAUUAAAUUAGCCUUUUUUUCAAAAGUUGUUACAGUUUUAGGGAAAUGCUUAUAAUAAAUAUUAAAUAAUAAUCUCAAGGUAAAAGUUGCACAUAUAGUUAGCUAUACCCAGCAUACACACACCCAC